rnacentral:rRNA from 1 species
CACGUAGGGCGCAAGCGUUGUCCGGAAUUAUUGGGCGUAAAGAGCUCGUAGGUGGUUUGUCGCGUUGUCCGUGAAAACUCACAGCUUAACUGUGAGCGUGCUUCCGAUACGGGCAGACUUGAGGUAUUCAGGGGAGAACGGAAUUCCUGGUGUAGCGGUGAAAUGCGCAGAUAUCAGGAGGAACACCGGUGGCGAAGGCGGUUCUCUGGGAAUAUCCUGACGCUGAGGAGCGAAAGUGUGGGGGAGCGAACAGG